AUGAACGCUGACAGAAUGCUUAACACCUGCAAGUCUACUUGAACUUCGGUUUGGGUGGCGGACGGGUGAGUAACGCGUAAAGAACUUGCCUCACAGUUAGGGACAACAUUUGGAAACGAAUGCUAAUACCUGAUAUUAUGAUUUUAGGGCAUCCUAAGAUUAUGAAAGCUAUAUGCACUGUGAGAGAGCUUUGCGUCCCAUUAGCUAGUUGGAGAGGUAACGGCUCACCAAGGCGAUGAUGGGUAGCCGGCCUGAGAGGGUGAACGGCCACAAGGGGACUGAGACACGGCCCUUACUCCUACGGGAGGCAGCAGUGGGGAAUAUUGGACAAUGGACCAAAAGUCUGAUCCAGCAAUUCUGUGUGCACGAUGACGUUUUUCGGAAUGUAAAGUGCUUUCAGUUGGGAAGAAAAAAAUGACGGUACCAACAGAAGAAGUGACGGCUAAAUACGUG
rnacentral:rRNA from 1 species